CGUCCUGCUCCUGGGGGCAGUCUCAGGUAAAACCAAAGGAAGAAGAUUGGUCAUGGAAGACUGUGCACCGAAAUGAUUGAAAUGCCAACAUCUACCUUAGAGUUACCAGGUCUCACAGGGUGAAGACAGCAGUGCGACCAGUUCAUAGAGAAGGGCCCUUGAAAUGUUUUCAAUCACAGAGGUAAUCCUGGCAGCUCACUAGAGG